AAUUUCUGGUUGCAGAAAUGUUUUCAACAUGUUGAAAAAUUUGCGGCGACCAUACUGAGGCUGCGACUAGUUCCCAGAAUGCGGGAACUCCUCGCGACCAUGAAGGAGUCUCACCAGAGAUCACCAGCGAACAUAUGGUGACCAUGAGGCGAGCGCAGAGUCUCCU